UACGUAGGGUCCGAGCGUUGUCCGGAAUACUGGGCGUAAAGCGUGCGCAGGCGGUCUGUUAAGACAGAUGUGAAAUCCCCGGGCUUAACCUGGGAACUGCAUUUGUGACUGGCAGGCUAGAGUAUGGCAGAGGGGGGUAGAAUUCCACGGUGUAGCAGUGAAAUGCGUAGAGAUGUGGAGGAAUACCGAUGGCGAAGGCAGCCCCCUGGGCCAAUACUGACGCUCAUGCACGAAAGCGUGGGGAGCAAACAGG
rnacentral:rRNA from 1 species